UCUCUGGGUGGCGAGUGGCGGACGGGUGAGGAAUACAUCGGAAUCUACUCUGUCGUGGGGGAUAACGUAGGGAAACUUACGCUAAUACCGCAUACGACCUACGGGUGAAAGCAGGGGACCUUCGGGCCUUGCGCGAUUGAAUGAGCCGAUGUCGGAUUAGCUAGUUGGCGGGGUAAAGGCCCACCAAGGCGACGAUCCGUAGCUGGUCUGAGAGGAUGAUCAGCCACACUGGAACUGAGACACGGUCCAGACUCCUACGGGAGGCAGCAGUGGGGAAUAUUGGACAAUGGGCGCAAGCCUGAUCCAGCCAUACCGCGUGGGUGAAGAAGGCCUUCGGGUUGUAAAGCCCUUUUGUUGGGAAAGAAAUCCAGCUGGCUAAUACCCGGUUGGGAUGACGGUACCCAAAGAAUAAGCACCGGCUAACUUCGUGCCAGCAGCCGCGGUAAUAC
rnacentral:rRNA from 1 species